CUGCUGGGGUGAGCAGAAAUGCACGUGGCCGUCGAUGCCGGCGGCGGUCAGGAUGAGAUGCUCGCCGGAGAUGGCGUCGGUCGAGGGACCUGUGACGAGCGAGGGAGUGACACCCUUCAUCACGUUGGGGUUACCGGCCUUGCCUAUGCCGGCGAUCUUGCCGUCUUUCACGCCGACGUCGGCCUUGAUGACGCCGAGCAGCGGGUCGAGGAUGGUGACGUUGGUGAUCACCAGGUCGAGACUGCCUGCGUCGCACGAGCAGUCGUUGGCGAGGCCCAUGCCGUCGCGU
rnacentral:sRNA from 1 species